rnacentral:lncRNA from 1 species
GAAGCGUUAAACCAUCAAUGCCCCACUCCGGUGAGCUGGCAUAUGCAGGCUGGUCUAUAAUAGGGAUUUGGAUGGACAGGAGAUGUAUGUUGGAAGUAUGGUAAGAUCCCUAGACACCGACUGUGGGAGCACAAAAGCGGUGCAGAAGGGAUGGCCUUUAAUACAGGGCUUGUUGGGCAUUUCUGUCAGUGUGGGGUCAGCAUUGAGUGGAGUCAGGCACGAGUCAUCAGAACGGUGGGUAGAGCGGAGGAUAUUAGAAUGGCCGAGGCUAUUAUUAUUGAAUCGUUAUAAAUGAAAAUCCUCCUGUUGACAUGCCAUCACAAUGGCUUGCAUGGUCUUUGUGCAUAAUAGACCCACAAUUACCACCAAUUUUGUUUGUUGCAGUCGAC